UACGUAGGGUGCAAGCGUUGUCCGGAAUUAUUGGGCGUAAAGAGCUCGUAGGCGGUCUGUCGCGUCGGCUGUGAAAACCUGGGGCUUAACUCCGGGCUUGCAGCCGAUACGGGCAGACUAGAGUUCGGCAGGGGAGACUGGAAUUCCUGGUGUAGCGGUGAAAUGCGCAGAUAUCAGGAGGAACACCGGUGGCGAAGGCGGCUUACUGGUCCGGAACUGACGCUGAGGUGCGAAAGCGUGGGGAGCAAACAGG
rnacentral:rRNA from 1 species